rnacentral:lncRNA from 1 species
CCCAGUCAUGUUAGUGUAUUCAUCAGAACUGCUGAUCCUGAUUAAUCUCCAUCCUCAUUCUUAAACCUUUAUCCUAAACUAUGGGGUUUCCCUUCCCAUUGCUUUCUUCCUUUACCUAAUGAUUUACAUCACAUCUCUGACACACUUAACUCACUCAUACAGUAAGUCCAAGUUGCUUACAGAACUCCAUGCAAAUUAGGAUAAAAUUUCCAACUUUACAAUUGCUUAUGAUGUUUUUAUAUAGUAAAGUAAUAAUAGGCUUAUAUCAUAUGUUUAUAAUCUUUGUUGAAUGUUAAAUACAGAGUAAAUUGAAUAUAUCAAGGUUAAGAAAUCUGUCAGAGGUUAUGGGUAUAGAUCAUUGGUAGGGUGUUUGCCUGGCAUGUGUGCAACCCUGUCUGAUUUCUAGCACCACAUACACACACACACACACACACACACACACAAAAGGAAAACAUUUGUCAGAUCUUCUAACAGGCAAAAAGACAAGCUGCCUUAAGACUGAAAAAUAAUAGGUGCUGUUGAUUCUCUGGAGAUAACAAAGGUCUAUCAGUUUAUUUAAAAUAUUUCCAAAGCUCAACCAACCACUUUGGAUAUCCCAUAUUUAGAAGUAUUAUGUUUACAAUUAUUUAGGGCUGAUUUUUUUUCUCCCUCUUGUUUUUCUAUUUUGUUAUUUAGUUUUUGUGGUACUGGGGAUCAAAUCCAGGGCCAUGCAGAUGCUAGGGAAGCAUACCUCUGAGCUACCUCCCCAGCCUUCUCUUGUUAUAAAAAAAAAAAAAAAAAAAAUCAAUCAGUAUUGCUACUUAUAAAUAGCUCCAAUAAAUAUUUCAAUUAACAAAGAGUAAAGAGCAGUAAGGCAGGGUGGCACACACCUGUAACCCUAGCAUUUUGGAGACUGAAACAGGAAGAUCACUAGCAUGCUACCUAGCAAGUUCAAGGCCCACCUCAACUACCUAGCAAAACCCUGUCUCAAAUAAACCAAAAACAAAAUAAAAAUAAAGCCAGGUAUUUUGGCACACAGCUAUAAUCCCAGAACUCCAGAGGCUGAGGAAGGAGGAUUGCCAUGAGUUCAAGGCUAACCCGGACUAUACAGCGAGACCCUGUCUCAAGAAACAAAACAAGGGCUGGGGAUGUAGCUCAGUGGCACAGCACCUGCCUGGCAACCUCAAGGUCCUGAGUUCAAUCCCCAGUACCCUCGCCCCAAAAAACCCAAAAGAAACAAAACACCCUCUCCCUAUAAAAGAACAGCCACACACAGCAACGCAUGCCUAUAAUCAGAACUACUUAGGAUAAGGUAGGAAGAUUGCAAGUCGGAAGUAAGUCAGCCUCAGUCAUUUAGCAAGGCAUUAUCUCAAGAUUUAAAAAAGGAGAAGGGAGCGCCAAGGUUGUAGUUCAGCAUCACAGUGCCUGCCUGGCAAGAGCAAGGCCCUGAGUGCGAUUCCGGAUACCAAAAACAAAGUUUUUUAAAAAGGACUUAUUAGCUAGGCAUGGUGGCACAUGCCUGUAAUUGCAGCACUCAGAAGGCUGAGGCAGAAUUGCUGUGAGUUUGAAGCCAACCUGAACUACAAAGCAAGACUGUCUCAAAAAACCAAAAAGACUGAUUAUGUUAGCUCAGCAGUAAAGCACCCCUGGGUACAAUCCCUAGUACAAAGAUAAAUGAAUAAAUACAAAAACAAGCAAAAUUAAUACAGUGCUUAGCAUGUUGCUCUGCACAUAAACAUGUAACAGCAACAACAAGGACUCUACCAGUGAAACACCACACUAGGCACAGGGUGUUCAAAGAGCAUCAUCUGGUUAAACCAGGCAUGGUGGUCCACGCCUGUAAUACCAGCACUUGGGAGGCUGAGGCAGGCAGACUGACAGGAGUUUGAGUACAGUCUGAGCUACAUAGUGACUUCACAGCCAACCUGAAAUACAUAGCAAGACCCUGUCUCAAAAAAAAAAAAUAUAUAUAUACAUAUAUAUAUAUAUAAAAUCUGGUUAAGGAGAGAAGACGUAAUGAGGGGAUAGAUACUGGGACUACUUAUAUGUAGUAAGCUAUUCUCUAACAGCAGUAAUCUGUACCUGGCUACAGUUAGUCAAAAUAUUAAUAACAACCUGAGUCAUUCUGGUUCCAAACUUCCCUAAUUAAACAUGGUAAAUACAGUCAAGUCUUUGGGCAAUCAGGGCAUACACUGGAAGUUUCAGUCAUGUCAUUGGAUCCAAAAUGAAUUGUUUCUAAUAGCUGUGGUUUUAAAAUAAGGAACUACUGUGUAAGUUCAACAUUCUUUCAUGUUAAUCUUCAAAGUGAAUAUUUAGGAACACCAUACCAUAUAAUCCUAAUACAAAUUAUCCAAAUUUUUUUUAGUAAUUUUUUUUUCAGGUGCCAGAAAUCAAACUUGGGACCUUCUACUUGCAAGGCAGGUGGCAGAACCACUGAGCUAAUUCCCCAGCCCAGUAUUUCUUUUUAAUACUGAGGAUCGAAUUCAGGACCUUGUGCUUGUGAGGCAGGUGCGGCGCCACUAAGCUAAAUCCACGGCCCACAAAUUAUCCAGUUAAAUUUUAAAUUUAAACCUUUUGGAAAGAAAGCCAUGAGGUUGUCUAUCCCAGGUUGAUUAACUUGGGACUUACAUAUUGCCUAAUGAAUUAUGGUGAUUUGAAUAAUCUAUUUAGAGGUUUUUUUCAACUAAUGGUACCCUAAUACUCAUUUCAAUAAUACCUGCAAUUGCAUAAGAAAAUAAUAUUCUUGGCCUGUUCUGUGGCCUGAUCCCGUUAGAGCCUUCCUCUUUUCCCAAACACUUGGUUAGAAGUGAUAAUUAACCAGUAACUAUGCCCAAAAUGCCUUUUCUUUUGAAUUCAAUCAAAUUCUAUCUGUACACAUACACCCAGAACAUAAAACUGAGUAUGCCGGUCUGUUUCUCCUAAUUUUAUCUUCCUUAUGAGACUGGCUCUGAAAGUUAAGGAAAAGUCAAAGGUUCCUAAUACUUUGAGUCUUGGAUGUCUUUCAGAAUUUGAUAAAAGACUCUGGACCCUCUGAUGCAUACAGAUUUAAAAAUACAAGGGAAAAGGGGGAUUCUGUGACAGAAAAGACAAGAUUUCACAUUAUUUUAUUCCAUCCUCAGAUCUGAGGGCAUUGUUUUACAGAAAGAGACACUGAAAUUAUUUCUGUCAUUAUUCAAGAGCUUGAAUAUGAAUCCAGACAUGACUCCAAACUCCAUGCUCCUUCCACUCUUCCCUGCUGCUCAUAAAGCAUAAGACAAAAAAAAGAAAGAAUGCAUGCUUAAUACUAACAAGGAAUUUGAGGCAGACUUACAGAUUAUGAAAGACUGCAAAAACCACAUAACCCUAUCUUCAUUUUAAUGUGAUUUCACCUUUCACCAACAUUGGUAUUUUAGCUAGCAAAAAGGCAAAUGUUUUAAGAGGGGAGAAACUAACCACAUUAAGUGUGAAUCCCAAAUUCAGCAAUUUGACCUGCUGUCUUCGCUUAAUCAUCUAAUCUUUCAGUUCCUUAGUUUCCUCAUCUACAAAAUGGGAACAAUAAUUAUUGCCACCUCUUAAGAUUUAUGGUGAAAAUUAACUGGGAAAUAUAUGCAACUCAUUUAGAAUAAUGCUUAGCAUGUGAGAGGAUACAAAAAUGUUAAUCAUUAUCCUAUUCCCCAGUCAGAAGCCCUAGGCUCCAUACUCCUCCACAGUAAUCCCCUAUACCCAAACUUUAAUUUUAGAUCUUUAAUAAAUGUGUUGUUUGAAGCCCUGUGUAUUUAAAGAGGUAGAGAAGGAAUAUUCACCACAUUCUGAGCUUUUAAUAUAUAAGUUCUGAAUCAUUCCACUUAAUAAGUACAUAGUUCAAGUCCUAGUGAUACAGGGGAAAUAAUAUAACUCUCAACCUGCUAGGCAUCAGAUAUGCCAAGUUCAUGUUCCCCAAAAUUGAAGAAUGAAUUUUAAGGAACAAUGGAGGUGAAGAGUAGGAAAAAUUUGAGAGAAAUAGUUCCUGAGAGACAAGAGGGGACCUGAAAGUGGGUUGCCACAGACCCCACCUCACAGAGGAAGUUUUAUAGAGCAAAAUCACAAGGUGGGUAUAAUGUGGAUCAAAACUAUGAUCAACCAAUAAAAGUACAAGUUUAGCGACUUAUGUAAUAUUGAUCCAAUGGGGGCCAGGGAUUUAGCUCAGUGGUGCCGCUGCCUGCCUUGCAAGCUCAAGGUCCCAAGUUCGAUUCCCUGUACCAGAAAAAAAAAAAAAGAGUAAGCAGAACUACCAAGAUAUAUUAUGUAAAGGUACAAAUUUCCAAUGAUGAAUGCCAUUAUACUGUAUGCCUAAAAUGUAC